AGUGAACGCUGGCGGUAGGCCUAACACAUGCAAGUCGAACGGCAGCACAGUAAGAGCUUGCUCUUACGGGUGGCGAGUGGCGGACGGGUGAGGAAUACAUCGGAAUCUACUUUUUCGUGGGGGAUAACGUAGGGAAACUUACGCUAAUACCGCAUACGACCUACGGGUGAAAGCAGGGGAUCUUCGGACCUUGCGCGAUUGAAUGAGCCGAUGUCGGAUUAGCUAGUUGGCGGGGUAAAGGCCCACCAAGGCGACGAUCCGUAGCUGGUCUGAGAGGAUGAUCAGCCACACUGGAACUGAGACACGGUCCAGACUCCUACGGGAGGCAGCAGCGGGGAAUAUUGGACAAUGGGCGCAAGCCUGAUCCAGCCAUACCGCGUGGGUGAAGAAGGCCUUCGGGUUGUAAAGCCCUUUUGUUGGGAAAGAAAAGCAGCAGGUUAAUACCCCGCUGUUCUGACGGUACCCAAAGAAUAAACACCGGCUAACUUCGU
rnacentral:rRNA from 1 species